rnacentral:lncRNA from 1 species
UACCACUGUGAGUGGUAAUGGCAUGAUAAUGACUAUUAUUCUUUAAAUUUUGCACUGUAUUACUGGGAAGAGUGCCAGGCUGCCUUUGCGUUAACGUGACCAAUAUUUGGCCAAACUGCUGCUCCAGUUGUUUGAUCGCGAUGGAGUGCGACUCAACUUUCUAAUUAAGCCCUGAUAUGUCUUCCUUAAUCUCCUUAAGGUAGCUUUUCUGACUUUCUUGGACUUUUACUAACAUCAACAACAUUGCCUCCAUUAUUGACUCUGUA